ACUUUCAACAACGGAUCUCUUGGUUCUCGCAUCGAUGAAGAACGCAGCGAAAUGCGAUAAGUAGUGUGAAUUGCAGAAUUCCGUGAAUCAUCGAAUCUUUGAACGCAUAUUGCGCCUUCUGGUAUUCCGGGAGGCAUGCCUGUUCGAGCGUCA
rnacentral:rRNA from 1 species